CGGUGUAAGACCGAUUCCAAGGCGAUCCGACGGAAGCAUCAGAUGAGGCGUGCGAGGAAGAAUGUUCGACUAUUAAGACAUAUAAAGCUGAGAUUGGGUUAAAAAAAGCUAGCGUUAAUCUACAUCGGUCCGUGGAGCUGUCGUGUCAAAAUAAAAAACCGCCAGCACGGCAGCUCCCACCACUUCGUUUGCUACAAGGGCUUCUUCUUCGACUCAGACUAUGUAUUGUCUAUGUGUGCCGCGCUGCAAGCUUACUUAAAACUUGGACGCCUAUAUCGUCUACACUGCAAUAAAUUUAGUUGGUUGUGUGAAGAACCUAAGGAAUGUUUGUGUGUAAUGGAAAACUUCCCUAUGAAUCUUUGUUCAUAUGUGACCAAAGUGUUGUUGUGGGAUAAUUUCUUAUUUUGCUCGGCUUCAGUCCGCCAAGUCUGUCUACUUCUUUUAGUGCCAAUAUUGUGAUCGACUAGAAGUAGUCCCUAGCUAAUAUGUUAGGCGGAUGGAACGCCUUUUGUUCUUAGCGAAUAAAACGCUGUACUGAAUUGGUGAAUAACAAUUGAUUUUAUUUAAUUUUGCUUGGCUAUUUAUACUAAAAUUAACAAAAUACAUUAGCGUAAGCAUAAAAUAAUAAUAUAAUUGUGACGGAUUACUUUAAUUACCGUGCGUAGCUUCGUAUUGCUUUACGAAAUGCAAUUCUUAGCCAGUUGAAGUGUGACAUAAUUCAUGUUUUUCUUUUUGCAAAUGAAUUAUGUUGAUUUUGCAUAGUUCUGUCACACUUCAAAGCGGAUGCAUAAGAACGAUAUGCGAUCACACUACAAUAGGAACGUGAUACCAUUGUUUGCACCCCAUUAAUUUAAAAGGAAGCCCUGGACGUAACUCUCAUUCAAGAACCUUGUGAAAACGCGGGUGCAACUUAAGGUUUGCACAGUAAACGAGUUUUUGCUAGAUCUUGUUGCGACCAAGCCGGAGAUGACACCUCGUCGUGAAAAUCGUGACCUUGUUAUAGUUUCCACCCACCUCACGGUCAAGGCGCGGACUAAACUUAUUAAUCAGCAACGAUGCUAGGCCCGUUAAUACGAUCUGGAGUAGUAAUAGGUAAAGACCAUUUUGAUUAAAUUAUCAUGAUAAAGGAGCGUGCCUUAGUGCUUUCGAAGGCUAUGAAAACUCAGACCCCAGCUAGGGAAAAUUUGCAAGGCAGUUGAAAGAAUGAAGUGUGGCUACUUGUAGGAAAGUUCCAACCAAAUAGACCGCAAAGCUUAAGCCGUGCGAAUGAGCUGCGUGGCGUCACUGCUGAGAAAACUUAAUCGCUCUACGAUAGGCGGCAUGAUUCUAAAAACCCGUAGUCAAUGAAUGCAAAGUAUGCACUAUAAAAACUGAAAUAGAGAGUGCACAUACAGCCUACAGGCAACUGGUCACCUCUUGCUGUCAUCAGGCCCAGAAGAAAAAAAACGCGUAGAUAGAUAGAAAAAAAGACAUGUUAAAAUGAAAAAUCGGCGUUUUUGACAAAUGCAGUUAGUUCCUUAAGACGAGUAUAAUUAUCAGCACAAGUUGUUAUACCAGAACAGACCAAACGUCAGUGUGGUGUUGUCAAAUUUUUUUUAAUACCAAUAUGAGAUGUUCAGCUGAUUCAACUAUCAAGCAAAUGCCGCAGGUGUUAUUGUGAACGGCUCGGAUCAUUUUAAGAUAAGGUUUGUCAUAAUCUAGAUUGGUCAUUAGUCUGCAGAGAACUUUAAUCUCUCAAGACGCAGCGGGCAGAGCUUUGAAAAAGGUGGAUGGAUGUAAUUUAGAAGAGAUAAUCUUCUGGUAAUGUAACAUUAGUGUAUUCACAAUCAAGUUUGUUGAUAAUGGUGCGCAAAGCUUUACUUGGCAAAUAUUUCACAGAUUUAAUUUCUGCUCUAAGUCAUGCUUUGCGUAGGCAAGUGGGCACAACUCAAUGGCAGAGAUGCCGUGGAUUUCAUAGACGUGUUGGUUCAUUGGGUUUUUCUUUUGGAUAAAGAAUAGCGCUGAUCUUUUGGCAGCGUAAAUGACAAGUUUCGUGCUCCUAUUCGUCGUUCUUAGACCUACUGCCUGUUUAAUAGCAAGCAAGUCAAUGAAGGUGGAGGUUAAAUUCUACAAGAUUUUGGUUUCGCCGAUAGCGUCUAGGCGAUAUUUCAUUACUGAAUAACUAAAUAUGUCGUAGCCUACCAAGUCGUCUAUAGCGUGUAUUUCAAAGCAUUUGUUAUGAUAGCUUUUCAGUUUCUCUUUAUAUAAAACUUUUAGGACUAACAAAAGAAUGUACUUUUUGUAUUUAAUUUUUCGAAUACAUGACUAAUCAGAUGCUGUAGCUGUAUAGGAUCUCUUCGCUCAUGACUGCAACUUAUAUAUUGGGGAAGAUUGCAGGUGGCAGAAAAUUCGAAUUCUAUUUUUCACUCGACCAAUGGCUUGUAGAUCAAGAAGACUUUUGGGGGCAGAAUCGCGUGUUUGUUAAUCAAUAUUGAGAAUCAGACUGACAAUUUUUGAAAGCCUUUUUACAGUGGUUACGGGAAGUGAGGCUUCAGUUGGUGGAAAUUUCAAUAAGCUGACAAGACCUGUAUUAAUUUACUUUGAUUUUUUAUUCGAUCUCUUUACUGAAAAAGUGCAUUGUAUUUGUUCGAAUUUAAAUAUAAAUUAAGUUUAGCUCAUUCAGAUUUGCUUUUGUAGAGAGAUUCUCAACGGCAUCAUUGACUGACACAACCGACGAAACUAGCAGAACUACUACUGUCAUCAGUAUAUUGGAAUAUAUGGGAUUUCCAGGCUGGCAGGUGGUGCAAGUUGGCCGUGUACAAGUUGAAAAGGAAGGCGCUUAAGCAGCUGAUUUGCGGCACACAGCUUUGAACCACAGCCCAAGAUCAGAAAUCGGCUCGAAUGAAUGUAGAGGGGAAUGUCAACGAAAAUAAGAGCUUUUAAUGUCAAGAGCCAAUAAAACCUUUCUGUCUGCUUCUUUUCACAAUGAAUAAUUCAUUGAUGCACAUGUCUGUUGACUUGUGUUUUCAAUACGCCAAAGAACAAGCGGGUGUGAUGCUGAUGAUGAGCAUUAAGAGAAAAGAUGAAUCUUUCUUUGAACAUAAAGUUCAUGAUUUUUAGUAAGCUGAAGUAAGAUCGAUCGGCUUAUAGUUCCUAAUAUUAUCAUUGCUUCUGUCAGGCUUGGGGAUUGAAAUGAUCUUGAUGAGGCAGCAAUUAUCAGGAAAGGUAUUAGUUGUCCUAUAAUGAUUGAUGGCGUCAAAUAAAGUUAUACGACUGUUUUUUGAAAGCGCUCCUCGUAACCAGCUCAAGAAAGUUUCUUCUUAGAAUGCAGAGCACGUGAGAAGUCCUUGUACCAGAAAAGAGCAAUACUAUCAAAAUGUUGAGGUAGAGCCUAGCAUUGCUUCUGAUAAAUUUUGGAUCUAGUCCGUGGAUGUUUUGCGCACAAUUUAAAAUCGUUCAGUGUAGGUCCUGGAAAUAUACGCUUUCAGGUUUUUAGAUAGCAGGUCGCUAUUUAACAUAAAAUUGUUUGCAAUGGACGCACGGUAAAGAGUGUAACUUUACAUUUGUUUACAAUUUUUAUGGCUUCUAGAUGUGUUAAUUUGAAGCUGUUUAGAUAUUCAUAAAAAGCCAAAUCGGAGGAGAUCAAGAUUCGUUGAUUCUCGCUAUUUGGGCACAUCGUGGUCAGCUGGUCAUCUACACAUAGGUUCAUUUGAGGUUGGUUAAUGGCUGUCAAACCAGGGAAGAGCCAGAGUUUUCAUCGGUUAUCUCAACUUCGUUAGCGCCAACAGCGGAAGAAGACUGUUACUUGCCGAUUUGUCUUCAUUAUUGACAUGCUUCAGAAGCUUUUCCGGUGGCAUUUCAAAGAGAUUUAUGUUGUUUUUUGUUUUUAAAUUGAUCAAAUUUA